rnacentral:rRNA from 1 species
UAGGGAAUCUUCGGCAAUGGACGAAAGUCUGACCGAGCAACGCCGCGUGAGUGAAGAAGGUUUUCGGAUCGUAAAACUCUGUUGUUAGAGAAGAACAAGGACGUUAGUAACUGAACGUCCCCUGACGGUAUCUAACCAGAAAGCCACGGCUAACUACGUGCCAGCAGCCGCGGUAAUACGUAGGUGGCAAGCGUUGUCCGGAUUUAUUGGGCGUAAAGCGAGCGCAGGCGGUUUCUUAAGUCUGAUGUGAAAGCCCCCGGCUCAACCGGGGAGGGUCAUUGGAAGCUGGGAGACUGGAGUGCAGAAGAGGAGAGUGGAAUUCCAUGUGUAGCGGUGAAAUGCGUAGAUAUAUGGAGGAACACCAGUGGCGAAGGCGGCUCUCUGGUCUGUAACUGACGCUGAGGCUCGAAAGCGUGGGGAGCAAACAGG